rnacentral:rRNA from 1 species
AUGAAGAUGCACCGCGCAUGCAAAAUCUGUGGAGAAAUAGGACACACCGAUAAGGAACACCAAGAUGGAUGCCCCUAUUGUGAAGCGAGUCACUUGGGUGAAGAAUGUCCCACUACGCGAGUCACCUGUUUCAUGUGUGAAGGGACUAACCACAAUCCAGCCCAGUGUCGUCUACUCACCACGACACAAGAAGUGGUUCAGCAACAGAGGAAAGGAAUGAAGAAGGCUGUCCAGGAAAUCAUCAUGAAGAGAAGGGCUUUAGUUACUUGCCAUAAGUGUAGGAGCAAGGGGCACUACGCCAGCGUGUGUCCAGAAGUGAUAACAGAGAGAGAAAGAUGGGCGCGCUACUCCAGCCCGUGUCCAGAAAAGAAAAGAGGGAGAGGGAGAUGGGAAGCUUGGAGCAAACAAGCGCCAUGA